UACGAAGGGGGCGAGCGUUGUUCGGAAUUACUGGGCGUAAAGGGCGCGCAGGCGGCUCUGCAAGUCAGAUGUGAAAGCCCCGGGCUUAACCUGGGAAUUGCAUUUGAUACUCUGGAGCUUGAGUACGGGAGAGGAGAGUGGAAUUCCUGGUGUAGCAGUGAAAUGCGUAGAGAUCAGGAGGAACAUCCGUGGCGAAGGCGACUACCUGGACCAGUACUGACACUGAGGCACGAAAGCGUGGGGAGCAAACAGG
rnacentral:rRNA from 1 species